UCUGAGGGGUGUAAAUGGGAAAAGUUGAGCAGGUUGUGUUGUGCUCACGAAGAACGGCGACGAUGUGUGAUGGUGUUUCCCUUAUAGCAAGCCUCGUCGUCCUGAUUGAAGUGCAGAGGAAAAUACAAAGCUGACAUUCUGCAACCAGUGGCAAUCCCAUAUCUUAGAUUUGCCCUUGGAGAUGUCAGCGCCCCCCACAGAGUGGGUCUUUCUCAGAGACGCCCUCAGCGUGUGGGAACGGAGAAAAUAAAUGGCUGCCUGCGGCUCAGUUGUGAAGAUAUUGUUUAAGCUAGAGGGCAGAGCCGGCCCAAGGCAUGUGAGAGUUAAACGGUUGUUUAGGGAGAGAGCACCGGACGGAUGCAAGAGUCAAGGCUUUAGCACUAAAGUGAUAAUCUAUGUUUGGUGAUGCAGUUCCGGAUCAUCACCCGGUUGUGGGUUACAGUCAUUCUUUCAUUUACUAUUUUUUAUAACGCGGGAGGUUGCCCUCUCCUGUUUGACAAGCUUAAUGAGCUGGAAAGAAAUGUUUACAAAAUUAAUUAAUUGGGGUGCAGCUGAUUGUUUUUAAUGUUAUUUAGCAGUCAGAUCGCCCCUUGGCAUUUUGACGCCCUGGGGAAGUGCCUUAAACUUGUUCUUACUUAAAUAAUUAGUUGAAAUCUAAAUAAUGAUGCCCAUAAAACGCUUUCUAAUUACCAUUUCUGCAGUUAUGUUCUGAGCUUAACAACUUGGUUUGUCCCCCUCAGUGGCUCUGCCUGGGAUCUGCUUUGAGAAGCUCUGCAACAGAACAAUGAGUGGAAGCCUCUGUGGUUCGGUGAGAGCAGUCCCGAACCGAGACGAAGGAUGGAUUAAAAGGGACUGGAAGUAUUGGGGAUUUUCCUCUGGAGACUUUCUGACAGCUGGUUGUCGAUGCAGUCAGAUUCUCCAGGAGAAGAUGAAAGAGAAGUUGGAUUGGGGUAAGAAGGUACAGAGUUUAAACCUCCAUCAGCCCCGGCAGGCUGGAGCUGCCUCAGCAGGGCAGCAGAGAAACCUGCCAGGUCACUGCAGGCUCUUCACUGGCCGGCGGGGCUCCGCGGUGUUUCCCUGCCUGUAUCUGUUUACAGAAUCUCGCCCUGACCGCUUUCGGAGCCAGCUUCCACACACCAGGAAGCAGGAGAGUGGCGCAGUGCUGCGACACAGCUGCCCGCCUGCCUGCACUCGGAGCGCCUCCUGCUGGUGCAGAUAAGAGCCCAACUGAGGUCAGCCCCCGCCUCCCACAAGAAAAAAAAGAAGAAAGGGAGCAAAGACGGUUGUUUGAUGAUUUUAUUUAUAGGUACAACAUUAACACUGUAAGUGGAGCCUCUCGUGACUUGCAGACUACAUUGUUAAUGAAACGGUAAGACGAUUUUCUGUUCCCUGCUGCAGUUCUCUUCAUCCCCUCUUCCCCUCCCUGCUGAUCCCGCCCGCCUCAUCACUUUUCCUGCAGACGCCCCGAAAUCGGGCCGAGCUCCGCAGACGUACGGCAAGCGCCUUCACACCAUUUGCACACACCAGCCUUUACCGCGUGAAACAAAAGUGCUAUAAAUUUAUGCUACAGUGCUGUGCUAAACCAAGACCUACGAGUGUUCUUCCUAAAAGUAUUUUCACAGAAACAAAAACGUCUCCACAGCUGACCGUGGAGGAAACAGAACUUUCCUUUGAGUUACCCAUCCGCUCCCACAGGCUCUUGAGUCAGCUAAUUACAAUUAUUUAAAUGACAGUCAGAUUAUUCUUAUUAUCUUACAUUACUGUGUCAAACUGCUGUUAUUGUGAGCAGUUAAAUAAACUCUGAUGCUACAGUUCAAAGUGUAAACAGUGACCUCAUACAGCACAAUCAUAUACAGAUGCAUCCUACUGUGUCUACGUUUUACAGUCAGUUACUAGAAAGUAGAAAAACGUGUUUAUGCUUCGACGAGGACGAUGAGGACAAUUCAGAGAUGUGGGGAUUCGCAAACAUCGACCAGCGUCUUAAAUAAGACCA